UGUUAAAACUUUUAUUUAUUUCUACUAUUAAAAAUUACCGUGGUUGCUAAAAUAACCAGAAAAUUACACGUGACAUUCCACGUGUAUCUCAUUCUGACGUAUAAUGAUUAAUUUUUAAAUGUAGAAAUGAAAGGACAAGUUUACUC
rnacentral:pre_miRNA from 1 species